rnacentral:rRNA from 1 species
AAUGAACGUUGGCGGCGUGGAUUAGGCAUGCAAGUCGAGCGAGAACCCAGCAAUGGGGGACAGCGGCGCAAGGGACAGUAAUGUGUAGAUCAUCUGCCCUCAGGCCCGGGAUAGCUGCGGGAAACUGCAGGUAAUACCGGAUAACAUCUCCGGAUCAAAGGUGUGAUUCCGCCUGAGGAUGAGUCUACAUCCUAUUAGCUAGUUGGCAGGGUAACGGCCUACCAAGGCGAUGAUGGGUAGCGGGUGUGAGAGCACGACCCGCGUCAUUGGGACUGAGACACUGCCCAGACACCGACGGGUGGCUGCAGUCGGGAAUCGUCGGCAAUGGGCGCGAGCCUGACCGAGCGACGCCGCGUGCGGGAUGAAGGCCUUCGGGUUGUAAACCGCUGUCAGAGGGGAUGAAAUACAGGUGGGUUCUCCCAUCUGUUUGACAUAGCCUCAGAGGAAGGACGGGCUAAGUUCGUGCCAGCAGCCGCAGUAACAC